rnacentral:lncRNA from 1 species
UCCAAAAGUUGGACAAAAUUUAUUACAUCUCUAUUGUAGAGAAUUGAUACAUGGAUUUUAAGAAGAAAAGAGAAGAAAGAGUUCUUCUCAUGAUCUCUUGCGUAGAGAUCAAGAUCCUCCUAUAUCUUUUUGUUCUCUAAGAGUGUCUUAGGAGAAAAGAAGAUUUUCAACCAUCAAGAUGCAAUCUCUGCAAGGGAGCUAGCAUCUCGAUGAGAUCAAAAAGCUUCUGAUCAGA